CGCAAGAGGGAGCCGUGGUUUCCGGAACUCCUCCCGCCCCUCCGGGCUUUUCCUCUGUUAGGCAGGUGGCGAUUCGCUGUCUUUGCCUGUUAUGGCCGCUGCCGUCGCCCUGGAGACAGGUAACCCUCUUCCAUGACUGUUCCUUAAAGUGGUGCGCUGUCCCAGUAGACCAUGCUCUAGCUUUCCAAGCUGCUAGAACUGUCAGUGUUUCUCAGCCUUGGCACUAUUGACAUUUUGGGACCAGUGAUUCUUCAUCGUUGGCAGAGGGGAGGGUGUUGACCUGUGCACUGUAGGAUGUCAGGUGGCAUCCCCGGACUCUACCCGCUAGGUGCCAGUAGCACCUAAUGUGCCACCCACCCCCUCCCAACAACUUUUCAACCAAACUAAAAUGUCUCUAGAGGUUGCCAUAUAUCCUCUGGGGGACAAAAUCACACUUAGUUGAGAACCACUGUCCCACAUUCUACACACAGAAGCCAAAAGGAUAUUUUUUAAAUGUAAAUGGCAUCAUGUCGUUCCCCUGUUGGAAACCCUUCAAUGUUUUCCUGUUGACCUUAGAAUAAUCUCAAAUUCCUUACUGUGGCUUAGAAGACCUUCUGUGGACUGGCCCCUGCUUGCUUUUAACUCCUCUCUUCCGUUCUGCUUCCAUGUCUAUAUAAUUGCUUCUCUCUCACUCCAGCCACACUGGCCUUCUUUCUGUUCCUUGAACAUUCAAAGCUGGUUCCCAUCCACCCUUUGUAUUUGCUGUUCUUCUGCCUAGAAUGCACCUGUUCCAGAUCACUGUUCAUUCACACAUAUCUCAGAUUACAUGUUAACUAAUCAGCAAGGCCUUCCCUGACCAUUUUAUCAAAAGAAGCCACUUACUUCCAUUCUCUAUCACAU
rnacentral:lncRNA from 1 species